GUGCCCGUGCCAUGCCGCCCGGGCGGGCUGGGGCUCCGCAGCUGCUGCUGAUUCAUUGGCUGCGGUGGGGCGCGCUUCGGUCCGGUCCGGUCUGGCUCGGCGGGUCUCGCGCGUGGCGUCGCGCGGAGCGGCCGUUGCCGCGGCGCAGGCAGGCAGGUAGGCAAGAAGAUUGGGUAUUCCCCUGAAAAGACCACAAGUUUGAACUCAAAUCUUGCACCUCUACAGUCUUGAGAAUUAUCAAGAAGCAAGGACCGUUUGGUUAAGUAUUUCUUGCAGACUCCUUUCUCAUCAGUGUUUGGGGGUGGCACAGCUUGUUUGAAGCAAUAUCCAUGUAGUAGGGUUCUAGAAAGAUGGGGUCUGUGGUAACUUUCAGCUCAUGCAGUACAGAGUAAAUCAGUUUGUGAUUACUUUCCUUGCUGACUUCUUUCCCUCUGACCUCACCUCUUAGUCUUUGCGAUAGAGUAAAAAGGAACAUAGUGGUGGGUGAUCCCCUUCUUCCCCAAUGCAGAAUAUUGUUGCAGGUAUGGGAACAGCCUGAGUUGUUAACUUCUUAUAGCUAGCAACUUUUGGGUUAAUUGUAGUGCCGAGCUGAUGCCUGAGGGUGUAGUGCGAAGCUUUCUCAGGCUAGGACUUCUUACAGUUUGAAAUGUUGCUAUUUUUUUUUUUUUUUUCUGCCUGGCUUUUGGGAUCUUCACAGUUUCCAAGGGGCAAACAGUUUGUUCAUUUAUUCUGUGAAGAGUGUAAAGUACUUAGACUCUCUGGCAGUAAGCAGAAUGGAAUUAUAUGGAAAAACAAAUGUAGCUUUGGAUUAAAAAUUUACCAGGUUGCUUGUGUCUACCGUAUAGGUAGUUUCUCUUUUUCCAGAAAUGAACAGUACAUUGACUAGUCCACGUAGAUUUCUUCUUGUGCAUGCAGGUCGGGUUGGAGGUGGUUACUGCUGGUUACGUACGAGGCUGGUUCCAGAUGUGCACGAAACCACAUUUGCCUUUGUGCUGCCCGUGGUGGUACAAACCAGAAAAUUGUGCUUCAGAUACAGUGUGGGACCAGUUCUGCCUUUACAGUGACUCAGUUUGAAAGUGACAUAUUGAAGCUGUUUAUUAGCACAGAGAAAUUUAGGCUGGAAGUGACCUCUGGUGGUUAUCUGGUCCAACCUCCUGCUCAAAGCAUGAUCAACUAGAUCAGGUAUAUAUUUAUUGAGGUGCAAGAUGUCUGCCCUGGGGCUGAUUUCUAACAGAACCUCCCAGCAGGCCUUGUCUAACUCUGAUUACACCUGGGAGUACGAGUACUAUGAGUAUGGACCAGUGUCGUUUGAAGGCCUGAAGGCUCAUAAAUAUUCCAUUGUGAUUGGAUUUUGGGUUGGUCUUGCAGUUUUUGUCAUCUUCAUGUUUUUUGUCCUGACCCUGCUGACAAAGACAGGAGCACCACAUCAAGAUAAUGCAGAACCUUCUGAAAAAAGAUUUCACAUGAACAGCUUUGUGGCAGAUUUUGGAAGACCUCUAGAGUCGGACAGGGUUUUUUCUCGUCAAAUACCCGAAGAAUCCCGGUCACUUUUCCAUUUCUGUAUUAAUGAAGUGGAACAUUUGGACAAAGCAAAACAAAGUCAGAAAUGUCCAGGUCUGGAAAGUAAUAUCCACUUCCAGGAAGUUCCCAGGAGCAGUGGAAUAUUUGAUGAGGACUUGAACUGUCUCACAAAAUUUAAUAUUCCUAACUUUGUCAACACGGAGCAGAACUCUUCACUAGGUGAUGAUGAUCUCCUCAUCUCAGAGCCACCAAUCUUUUUAGAAAGCAAAUCAGUCAUGCAAUCUUCCCAUCAGAACCUUGACUGAAAAGUCUUUUACUUUAAGGGACUGUGAAGGCUGGAGCCUGGCAGUGGGUGAGAUAAGAAGACUCCUCAGCCAAGGAAAGUAUAAACCUCAAGACUAAAGCAAGGAACAAACAGGCAGUUGCUGGGGGAGGUUCUGCAGCUUCUGCCACUCCCAGAAAGGACACCUGAAACUGGGCAGCACUGAUUCUACGUUUGAGAGAGAUCCUGGCAACUGGCAACACAAGGGUUGCUGCACACAAGACAGUAUUACAGACACAGCACAUUCUACAGGAAAUAAAUGGUAAGUUGAAAUUAGUCAGUUUUAUCCUUUUUCAUUUGUAAAACAGUCCCAAAUCAAGAAAAUAGAGCAUAUUUACAUAUAGCUGAUAUUUUAUAUACAAAGCAUGAUUGUAUUUACACAUUUUAUUAAUAAAGACUAAUACUUCAUUACUGGGGGACAAAAUACCCAUACUAAAAAUACUGAAAAUAUCUGAAUAUGAAGCAACCAAGAUUACUAUAUUAAUUGUUAACUGACUGCUUUUUUAUAUCUCUAUAUAUGUGUAUACAAUCUCACUUUGUGUGUAUGCUCAAAAAAAACCCACACCCAAGCAACUGUUGCUUACUGUCUCUGUCUAGAUAGUAUAAUUUGUUAUACUAUUUUGUUCUUUAUGUGUGCUCAGUCACAUGCCUGUAUAUGCCAAAAAUGCAUGCUUACUGCUGGUCCCUGAAGCAGCAUGACACGUAAAUACAUAUACACAGACUCGAACUAUUUCACACGAAUUAAAGGCUUCAACCAAUACCUGAACAGUAGAUCCUAGCUUUUAUCUUCUCUUGGCCAUAAAUAAGUACAGUUAAUUAUCUACAACCUUAAUAGACGUUCUAUGGAAUUCGUAAAGACUUGGCAGUGCUGAGACUUCAAACUAGCAAUUUAUUGAUUUUAUUGUUUGAAAAACUUGUCAUUACAGCCACCAAAUAUAUUGCUGGUUGUUCUCUUCCCUGGAGCUGGUCCAUCUCUUUUUUGAAACAAGGGACCAAAAGCUUAGCACACUAAAUUACAUGUUAGUGAUGCAGUAGGAAUUGCUCCUAUGCUGUCUAGUAUCUUACAGGCUCUACACUGAGGUGUAUAAACUCCAGCUGGGCAUGAGAGGAGAGGGAGAAGGCAACCAUCUAAAACUCAGCUUGGUACCUGCUGUGGUGCCUGUCAGUUCAGCAGAAAGUUAUAUCCACGUUCAGUAUUUGGGUGUCAGAUUAUUCCCACUUCUGCAUGCUAGUCUCCUUUGUCAAUACUGAAGACUAUUUCUUUUUUCCUGUCCCCUUUUCCGAUUUGGUCAGUGUUUUAACUGUAAAUUUCCCCACUGACAUAUCCCUGUCUUCACAUUCAAUUGGCCUCUUUAUUCUGUAAAGAUCAUCGAUAUAGCCUUCCCUUUUAAAAGGGAUACCAAAAACUACUCUCACACUGUAUUUUACAGGCUUUUUUUCAUAUCUGUCCCAUAACAAUUCAGCUUGACCACUCUGCCAUUGUUCUUACCAGCACAGCUGGAAAUAUCUGCAGUGUAAACAGAGAAGAGUUUGAAUUUGGUCAUCAUGUGAGAACACCUGCUCUGCUCCAGCCCUCCACUCAUUCACAAAGUUGAAAGGAGUCUUUAGGAUAAGGGAAGGAGUGUUUUAUGGAUUGGAUGGCGAGAAACAAAAUGUUGGAAAAAGGAGGAUUUUCAUGCCCUACCAAAUGAAAAAUAGUAACUCUAUAUACUAAAAAUACAAGCCAAACAGCAUACUGCGCAAAUUGCGCACAAAGGAAUCAUGGUGCAACAAGUUAUAAACAAAAGUUAAAAAUAUUCAGGCAUGUUCUAUAGUAUCUGCAAAAGCAUCAAAUGGAUUUUCUCAAUGGUAAUUGAGUUUGUAGAAUAACCUCAAUAUUCCUAUUUUUUUUUUUCUAAAUGGCAUGUAGCUUUAUUUCUAGUGAAAUAUAAGACAUACGAUAUGACUGGGGUGUUGCUCAGUGCAAAUCUACUUUUGGACAAGCAGGAUUCCAGAACAGAAUGUAAUUAAAUUUACAAGUGUUACAUUAAUGAUUUUCAACAAUAUUGUCUAUACAUAACUUCAAAUAUUCUGCUUCUCUAAUCAACUCAUACCUAAGAUGUCUUCCAGCAGCCGUCUGUCAUGCUGAAUCCACUGGAAUUAGGCGCAGGAAUAACCACCCCUUGUUUCUGCAGUUCACGUAAAACAUCUAAUAUUGAAUCCAAUUCCACUCGAAAUUUCUCCAGUUCUUGGUUCUUCCGCUGUGCCAGUCUUCGCCACUUCUCAGCCUCGUGGGUUUGCCGAGCCUCGCUGAGAUGUUGUGUCAGUUGCGUUGCCUGCAAAUCAGAAGCAAGUCAGCGCUGGGACUCCCUCGUCAAAUACUCUGCCAACAUGGCCCCCGUGCAAAAAUGCGCUACUUCAUUCUAUUCGAUGCUCAGUCCCAAAGCCCAGUGCUCAUGGUAAGUGGAAACAAUUUGUUCUGAAUAUUACAAAAAUCAUUCUGACAGCAAUAAAUUCCUUUAAAUAUUUGCAUUAGUGACAGAAGGGUAGAAUCCAUUACUGACUAAUGAGUCUCAGGAGAAUUAUCCUCUCCAAAACAGCAAUUAAAAGUUUGAAUAUUUAAGACAAAACUGAGCCUAAACCAUAAAACUGUCUGUAAUCAAAAUGAACCUUUUGAAUUGCCAUUUAAAUGCAUUAAUUAUAAGAAUACUCUGCAAGAGAAACAAAUGAAAUCUGAAUGAUGUGUUAUGGGCUAUUCCUGUGCUUUUAGAAAGCAAAAGUUCUAUAAAUUAUCACAAAAUAUCCUGUAGACACAAAGGUCUUAAGCUUCUGCAGAUAAAAGCUUGAAUUUAUUUUUACAUUAAUCCAUAGCAUAAUCUUAUUAAAUUACCCAAAAUAAAAAGUGUCACAAGAUAUCAAAAUCUCCACACUACUAUUAAUUGUAGUAGAUUCUUUAAGGAAAGCUCUAUCAUUCAAUGGCCAUAAUUAUCAUACUUAUAGUCUGAUACGAAGGGUAAUCCGUUACUUCCUUGUCCAGCAAUUAGUUUUUCUACAUUGUUCAAUUUGUUACUAUUCAUUUGAGAGAGUGUUUGGUGCCCCCCUGCAGAUAAUUGAAGGUGCAAAAGUAGGACAAACAAAACCCAAAGCUUAAUACAUAACAAAGCCGGUAGCACCAGGAAUGAUGAAAUUACUUAGUAGCAACUCUGGUGUAUACUAUUAUCUCUGGUUUUGUUAAAUACAUUACAUAACAUCUUAGUAAAUACUAUAGGUCAGGUAAUUAAUUCAGCGGAGACAGAUCACAGACUAGGCAGCAGCAGCCACUACAGAAAUGGUAAAUAACUUCUCACAUUAUACAAAAGCAAAUGAACAGCAUAAAGAACUAUUACAGUUGCCUUCAGCAGGACAGAAUGUGAAUAAUAAAAUCAGUCACAGCAGAGUUUGUUCUUAAUCCACUGACUUGUUUUAUGCACAGUUCUUCUGGGGAAGAAAAUUAAGUAUCUGCUGUAGAAAUGUAUGAGAAUAAAGCCUUCUACCAUGAGCAAUUCUACACAUAAAAUUGUAUUACUUGAGAUCUGGUUUCAAAACUUUAGAACAAACUGCACCAACUAAGAACUACUACAGGUUUGAAAAAACACAGGUUUGUUAAAACAUGAAUGACAAUCAUAUUUAGGUGAUGAAAGAGCUGAGGAAAAAAAAAGUGAACUAGAAAACUGCUUCCAGAUGACAGAAGCUCCUCAGAGAGAUGAAAAAUUAGCGUGGAGGCCAAGAAAUAAAAUGAGAUAAAAAAAAAAAAAAAAUCAGUGUAAAAUUGUUUUACUCAUUCAAGGGACAUAAAUAUCAGAUACAAGAAGCCGUACUGUAUCACAAAGAUCCAACCUUCAUAAUCUAGAACUUUUUGUUUGUGGAGGAUAAAGGGCUUUUGUUGUUGUUUUGUGUAUUAAAGACAGUAUGUGGUAGAUUGCUGUAAGAUGUUUCUAUACUUUUAAUGCAGGUUUCAGGACUAGAAUAAAAUGACAGUUCAGUUGAGGAAUACAUCAUAGCUUAACCAACUCUGCAUUACACACUUUCAUCAGGUUUUCAAUAGCUUUUCUUGUGGAACUGAACUAUGAAAUAACCGCAUGAGACAAGAGAAUUCUAGAAAUGAUGUGGUCCAACCCUCUGCUAAUGCUGGGCCUCUGUAGGUCGGGCUGUGAGGAAGUUACACACCUGAUAUGUGAGCCAUGCACAAGUAAUCUCAAGUACCACAGCAAGGAAGGGCUGACCAGCAUCACAUCAACAUUCACUUGCGUCCACAGGCAAAGACAAAACCACAGCUGUAUCAACAAGUACUUGCCCCCUGCAGUUUGGGCUAAACAAGCCUAUGCAAACACCAUGAAAAUACAGUUAAACCAAUAAAUUGCUGUUGAGAAGUAAAUGCAGGUGUACCUUUUGAAUUUCUUGCUCUCUUUCUGCACGUCUGGUCUCUAUAUGCUUGAUUUUCUUUUCCAGGCACAGGAAAUGUUUCAUUUCAGGACUCUGGCUCUCCUUAGCCUCCCUCAGUUCUUCCAACAGUUUUGUCACCUGCAAUUUGAGAGAAUUGAUGAAAAUUGUUAUCAUUGUGUUAAGUAGUAUAUAAAAUGGAUUCCUUUCAAAGUAUUUGCAUUGUUUAAUCUCUUCAUUCAAAAGCUGCAGAGAAGAGAUAAAAGAGAAAUCUCCUUUAUUCAGGAGUUUAACUGGAGGCUCAGGGACUUAGAUUAGGAUUUUUCAUUUGUAAGAAAUGGCCUAAGGAUAUGAAAAUCUAGUUCUUUUUGAUAAAUCAAAUCCUGUUCAUAAUACGUUAUAAAGUGAUUAUUCACAGUCAAUUUUUAUACUUCUAAACAUACUAAAAAAUUACCAGAGAAGACUAUGAUUAGAUGUUCUUACACAGUCCCUUCUCACACUCUGAAUAAAGAUCAAAUACAAAAUGUAUCAGUGUAUUUCUACGGAAUAAAUUAAUACAAGACAUGCUGCUAACAGACAGGAUUACAAACCCUCUUUGGUCUAAAAAUUGCCAGGUCUAGUCAACUGUACUAAUGACUUGCAACUGAUUUCCUAAUACAAAGCUGUCCUAUGUUCAAGCUGUUAUACCAGAUAAGUAUAUGGUUAUAGUUAAUGAAAAACAUCCCUGAACAGCAUUUCUGAGAUUAGUAUUCAAAUAAUAAUCUUCCAGUGAGCCUCAGAGCAAAGUCUGCCCUUUUUGAGGUACCACUGUUUUAGACAGAGGACUCUUGAUCCCAUUACAAAUAGUAGCACUUUUCACUACCAUCACUUAUUAUGUUUGUAGGUUUAGUUGCCUUCAUCUUUCAGCUCAACUUAUUUAACCAUUUAAUGCUGAAAAUGUAUUCUAUAAGCAGCACAGCAAUGACACUAGAGGGCAAAAGCAAGGCUUUACUUUCACAUUUCUCUCUAUAUGGUCUUGUAAUUUCUUAUUUUUUUUU